AACGAACGCUGGCGGCAGGCCUCAAACAUGCAAGUCUAGGGGGUGUAGCAAUACAUCACCGGCGGACGGGUGCGUAACGCGUGGGAAUAUACCUAUCGAUUCGGAACAACUGAGGGAAACUUCAGCUAAUACCGAAUACGUCCUAACGGAGAAAGAUUUAUCGUCGAUAGAUUAGCCCGCGUUCGAUUAGCUAGUUGGUGGGGUAACGGCCCACCAAGGCGACGAUCGAUAGCUGUUCUGAGAGGAAGAUCAGCCACACUGGGACUGAGACACGGCCCAGACUCCUACGGGAGGCAGCAGUUGGGAAUCUUGGACAAUGGGGGGAAACCCUGAUCCAGCCAUGCCGCGUGAGUGAUGAAGGCCUUCGGGUUGUAAAACUACUUUCGUCGCACGACGAUAAUGACGGUAGUGCGAGAAGAAGCUCCGGCUAACUUCGUGCCAGCAGCCGCGGUAAU
rnacentral:rRNA from 1 species